GUGGCCUUAUAAUCCCGGACUUCAAGCUCUAUUAUAAAGCUGCAGUUGUCAAGACAGUACGAUACUGGCAGAAAAAGAGACUCAUAGG